UACGUAGGGGGCAAGCGUUGUCCGGAAUCAUUGGGCGUAAAGAGCGCGUAGGCGGCCCUGUAAGUCCGCUGUGAAAGUCAAGGGCUCAACCCUUGGAUGCCGGUGGAUACUGCAGGGCUAGAGUCCGGAAGAGGCGAGUGGAAUUCCUGGUGUAGCGGUGAAAUGCGCAGAUAUCAGGAGGGAACACCGGUGGCGAAGGCGGGUCUCUGGGCCGAUACUGACGCUGAGGAGCGAAAGCGUGGGGAGCAAACAGG
rnacentral:rRNA from 1 species